rnacentral:rRNA from 1 species
AUGGGGUCCGGCACCUGGCGCAAGGCCUACGGCGCCCUCAAGGACUCCACCAAGGUUGGCCUCGCCAACUUCAACAUCGAGUACAAGGAUUUGGAUAUCGCCAUCGUGAAGACGACGAACCACGUGGAGUGCCCGCCCAAGGAGCGGCACUUUAGGAUGUUUGCGAACUCGGCAAAUCGCCCGCGGGCCGACGUCGCCUACUCCAUAUGUGCAUUGGCCAGGAUGUCCAAGACCAAGAGUUGGAUAGUGGGUUCCUUGUUUGUGUAUCUUGGUAGUAGUUCCUUGUCUGUUUAUCUAUGCCGAUUGAUAAUCCUUGAUUCAAUCAUCUCCACAAGGUACAACACAGAUGAAGGAUUGCUUGGCUGUUCGUGGCGGCCGUCGCCGGCUGGUUGA